CCUACGGGAGGCUGCAGUGAGGAAUAUUGGUCAAUGGUCGGGACACUGAACCAGCCACGCCGCGUGAGGGAUGAAGGUUCAGAGUAUCGUAAACCUCUUUUGUCAGGGAACAAAGGCGGGGAUGCGUCCCCGGAUGAGCGUACCUGAAGAAGUAGCAUCGGCUAACUCCGUGCCAGCAGCCGCGGUAAUACGUAGGAUGCGUGCGUUAUCCGGAAUGACUGGGUGUAAAGGGAGCGUAGACGGUUAAGUACGUCUGGAGUGAAAGGCCGGGGCCCAAACCCGGGACUGCUCAGGAAACUAUUGGACUUGAGUGCAGGAGGGGUAAGCGGAAUUCCUAGUGUAGCGGUGAAAUGCGUAGAUAUUAGGAGGAACACCAGUGGCGAAGGCGGCUUACUGGACUGUAACUGACGUUGAGGCUCGAAAGCGUGGGGAGCAAACAGGAGUAGAUACCCCUGUAGUC
rnacentral:rRNA from 1 species